GAUGAACGCUGGCGGCGUGCCUAACACAUGCAAGUCGAGCGAUUCUCUUCGGAGAAGAGCGGCGGACGGGUGAGUAACGCGUGGGUAACCUGCCCUGUACACACGGAUAACAUACCGAAAGGUAUGCUAAUACGGGAUAACAUAAGAAAUUCGCAUGUUUUUCUUAUCAAAGCCCCGGCGGUACAGGAUGGACCCGCGUCUGAUUAGCUAGUUGGUGAGGUAACGGCUCACCAAGGCGACGAUCAGUAGCCGACCUGAGAGGGUGAGCGGCCACACUGGGACUGAGACACGGCCCAGACUCCGACGGGAGGCAGCAGUAGGGAAUAUUGCACAAUGGGCGAAAGCCUGAUGCAGCAACGCCGCGUGAGCGAUGAAGGCCUUCGGGUCGUAAAGCUCUGUCCUCAAGGAAGAUAAUGACGGUACUUGAGGAGGAAGCCCCGGCUAACUACGUGCCAGCCGCCGCAGUAA
rnacentral:rRNA from 1 species